rnacentral:sRNA from 1 species
UUGCGGUAGGGAUUGAACGUAAAUCCUUUUAAAUAACACAUCGCAUACAUUGCGACGUGUUAUUUAAAAGAUUGAAGUGAAAGCCCGACCUGAA